rnacentral:rRNA from 1 species
AUCCAGACUCCUACGGGAGGCAGCAGUAGGGAAUAUUGCUCAAUGGGGGAAACCCUGAUGCAGCGACGCCGCGUGAGUGAAGAAGUAUUUCGGUAUGUAAAGCUCUAUCAGCAGGGAAGAAAUACUGACCUUACGGUCAGCAGACGGUACCUGACUAAGAAGCCCCGGCUAACUACGUGCCAGCAGCCGCGGUAAUACGUAGGGGGCAAGCGUUAUCCGGAUUUACUGGGUGUAAAGGGAGCGUAGACGGUGCAGCAAGUCUGGAGUGAAAGGCAGGGGCCCAACCCCUGGACUGCUCUGGAAACUGUCGUACUUGAGUGCAGGAGAGGUAAGUGGAAUUCCUAGUGUAGCGGUGAAAUGCGUAGAUAUUAGGAGGAACACCAGUGGCGAAGGCGGCUUACUGGACUGUAACUGACGUUGAGGCUCGAAAGCGUGGGGAGCAAACAGGAUUAGAUACCCGAGUAC